CAAGCGUUGUGUCUACACACACAUCCCUACAGUACAGACGCCGCGCCGCGCACAUCUAGCCAGUCUCGUUACGGACCAUGCGCGGUACAGACGUGUGUCGUAAUUUCACAAAUAUUAAAGUAAUUGUUUAGUAAAAAGAUCCAGAAUUUUAGAUCUCCCUGCCUCGUCCGGGAUGACCUCGAGAAUCUUCCACAAAAGCGGUGUCAGGGAGGCGCGGAGUGUAAUUAAAGUUGCUGCAGUGCUGACUGUAUACCUCACGGGUGGCCGGUAGUUAUUGUAGAUUAUUUAAACAGUUUCUUAAUGGUUGUUUCGAUGCAACUCAAAACAAAAGCGAUGUCAGAGAGGCGCGGAGUGUUAUUAAAGUUGCUGCAGUGCUGACUGUAUACCUCACGGGUAGCCGGUAGUUAUUAUAGAUUAUUUAAACAGUUUCUUAAUGGUUGUUGCGAUGCAACUCAAAACAAAAGCGGUGCCAGGGAGACGCAGAGUGUUAUUAAAGUUGCUGCAGUGCUGACUGUAUACCUCACGGGUGGCCGGUAGUUAUUGUAGAUUAUUUAAACAGUUUCUUAAUGGUUGUUCUGAUACAACUCAAAACAAAAGCGGCGUCAGGAAGGCCGGAGUGCUAUUAAAGUUGCUGCAGUGCUGACUGUAUACCUCACGGGUGGCUGGGAGUUAUUGUAGAUUAUUUAAACAGUUUCUUAACGGUAACUUUGAUACAACCUACAUGUACUCUCAUGUAAACAUUUUUAAAUAAAUUACUGUGACUUGUAA